CUCUCACACACACAAUUGCAGUACAGCAGAGACACUGUAGGCCAUGUUCCUCCCUGCAUGUGUAAGUGUUACUGUAAACAGAGCUCAGUGAGUGCACACAGUUCAGUAUGCAGCCUCCAGGCAGAGCUGCAGCAUGUGUGAUUGGGGCUGAGCUCGGCUAUUACUUCCGGGGGAGUUACACAGUUCAUCAGGCAGCAGAUUGCAAGCAGUGACUGCAAGCUGGAGCUCAAAUCGGGCAAUAGUACUAGGACUACUUACCUCCCAUCCUGGAAUAAAGGAAUAUCUGCUCGCACUGCCUCCCCAUAUCCUGACAGGAGCUUUAUAAAUACCACCCCGCCUCCUG